GAUGAAGAACGUAGCGAAAUGCGAUAAGUAGUGUGAAUUACAGAAUUCAGUGAAUCAUCGAAUCUUUGAACGCACAUUGCGCCUUCUAGUAUUCUGGGAGGCAUGCCUGUUUGAGCGUCAUUAAACCUCUCUCAAGUAUGAUUACUUGGAUGUGAAGGAAGAGUACCUUAAACUUAAGGAGUGUUCUCCUUUGAAAUUGAUUAGCAGAUGGUAAUGUUAUUAAAUCCCUGAUGUUGUAAGAAAUAACAGUGGUUUUGUAGACUAUUAUCUAGCUUUAAAUUAUAAUUUUUAUUAUGGUUGACCUCAAAUCAGGUAAGGAUACCCGCUGAACUUAAGCAUAUCAAUAAGCGGAGGA
rnacentral:misc_RNA from 1 species